ensembl:rRNA 5S_rRNA 5S ribosomal RNA
GCCUACGGGGCCAUACCACCCUGACAACGCCUGAUCCCAUCUGAUCUCGGAAGCUAAGCUGGGUCAGGCCCAGUUAGUACUUGGAUGGGAGACCAUCUGGGAAUACUGGGAGCUAAAGGCU